GUUGUGGCUCAGUGGUAGAGCGCUUGCCUAGCAUGCACAAGGCACUGGGUUCAAUCCUCAGCACAACA
rnacentral:tRNA from 1 species